rnacentral:rRNA from 1 species
GCAUGGUGGGUUUAUUCGAAGCAACGCGAAGAACCUUACCAGGUCUUGACAUCCUCUGACAACUCUAGAGAUAGAGCGUUCCCCUUCGGGGGACAGAGUGACAGGUGGUGCAUGGUUGUCGUCAGCUCGUGUCGUGAGAUGUUGGGUUAAGUCCCGCAACGAGCGCAACCCUUGAUCUUAGUUGCCAGCAUUUAGUUGGGCACUCUAAGGUGACUGCCGGUGACAAACCGGAGGAAGGUGGGGAUGACGUCAAAUCAUCAUGCCCCUUAUGACCUGGGCUACACACGUGCUACAAUGGAUGGUACAAAGGGCUGCAAGACCGCGAGGUCAAGCCAAUCCCAUAAAACCAUUCUCAGUUCGGAUUGUAGGCUGCAACUCGCCUACAUGAAGCUGGAAUCGCUAGUAAUCGCGGAUCAGCAUGCCGCGGUGAAUACGUUCCCGGGCCUUGUACACACCGCCCGUCACACCACGAGAGUUUGUAACACCCGAAGUCGGUGGAGUAACCGUAAGGAGCUAGCCGCCUAAGGUGGGACAGAUGAUUGGGGUGAAGUCGUAACAAGGGUAGCCGUA